UGUUUUAGUUUAUAUGUAUGGAUUUGCAAGUUACUGAAUAUAGUUAUUUGUGGGUUUUGCUUUCUAACCCCCUUUAAAAAGUGUUUCUGUAAAGUAUAAUUGGUAUCUAUAAAUACUACAAUAUCUUGGCAUUUUCUUCUAAGACAUUUUUCUGUCUCUGUUUUGGUUAUUUCUGGAAUGUUUUAUUUAGGUAAAGGCAUUCCUUAGAGGCGAGCCUCUACCCUUUACUGCUGGUAAGCUUGAAGGGAUUGCAGCUGUUGUAAAUGAGAAUGUUAGAACAGUGAGGAAACUCGGCAGCAUUAGUCUUCGGUAUUGGAUUUUGGAAUACUUACGAAGACAACCUAAAGAGAGAACAUAUCGUGCAUUGGUCCUUAAAUUUAUGAAGGAUCGAAUUGCAGCUCUAUUGUUGGUUGAGGUUGGGUUUCAAGCUUCUGCCUGGAUCUCUGUUGGAACGCAGAUAGGGGAUGAAGUAAUAGUUAAGGUGGUAGAAGCACAUCCACGUGAUGAUAUAAUUUUUCUGAAGGAGGUUGUAAAAGAGUGAGCUAAGAUACGACUUUGAAUAGAGUUUUUCAAUAUUCAACGAUUUAUUCCAAGGUUAAAUCGUCUCUCUGCAUCCCUAGCCUACAAAGCUUGGCUGCUCGUAGGAAGAGAGUUCACACUUCACUGUCAGAAUCACGUCAUUUGAAACUUUGUUAAGAUGUUCAAAUCUUGAUGUGUCAUUUCUGGCAGAGAAAUUUAAGGAAGUUACAGCCAACAUAUCCAGCCUUCCUCAUGCUGCCAGUGUACAGUCCUUCAAACAAUUUCUCCAACCAGUCACAUGAAGUUAUCAGGUUUUGUUCCCCACUUAAGCGAAUAGCUUUGCCCAUUCUGUUGAUUUGUAGUGGUAUAGUAGUAGUGAUAGUAUCUCACCAAAAGCAGCUUCUAUAUUUUCUUUUUGUUUCUUCAACUGUCAUGGUUAAGUAAUUCAAUUUUGCCUGGUAUAUGGUUGGCUUUACAACUUGAUAUGAAUAUCUGAGUUUUUUUAUUGUAAUAUCACAUCCUUUGUGCAAAUAACAACCAAGAAUCUAGAGUUGCAUUA